rnacentral:rRNA from 1 species
GACGAACGCUGGCGGCGUGCUUAACACAUGCAAGUCGAGCGGAGCGGCGAACGGGUGAGUAACGCGCGAGUAACUGCCCCCCUCUCUGGGAUAACAGUUGGAAACGGCUGCUAAUACCGGAUAGUGGGGGAUGGCUCGCGUCCUAUCAGUUUGUUGGUGGGGUAGUGGCCUACCAAGGCGACGCGUGGUGGCCGGCCGGAGAGGGGGAACGGCCACAUUGGGCUGAGGUACGGCCCAAACUCCUACGGGGGGCAGCAGUGGGGAAUAUUGCACAAUGGGGGAAACCCUGUGGCAGCAACGCGCGUGCGGGAUGACGGCCUUCGGGUUGUGAACCGCUUUCAGCCAUGACGCGGUAGUGGCAGAAGAAGCACCGGCUAACUACGUGCCAGCAGCCGCGGUAAUUC